rnacentral:rRNA from 1 species
GAGUUUGAUCUUGGCUCAGAGUGAACGCUGGCGGUAGGCCUAACACAUGCAAGUCGAACGGCAGCACAGUAAGAGCUUGCUCUUAUGGGUGGCGAGUGGCGGACGGGUGGGGAAUACAUCGGAAUCUACUUUUUCGUGGGGAUAACGUAGGGAAACUUACGCUAAUACCGCAUACGACCUACGGGUGAAAGCAGGGGAUCUUCGGACCUUGCGCGAUUGAAUGAGCCGAUGUCGGAUUAGCUAGUUGGCGGGGUAAAGGCCCACCAAGGCGACGAUCCGUAGCUGGUCUGAGAGGAUGAUCAGCCACACUGGAACUGAGACACGGUCCAGACUCCUACGGGAGGCAGCAGUGGGGAAUAUUGGACAAUGGGCGCAAGCCUGAUCCAGCCAUACCGCGUGGGUGAAG